rnacentral:sRNA from 2 species
GUUGCGGCAAAAUCCGCAACCGGAAUUGGCGUUCCGAAUCCCCUGACGGUUCUCAAAUACGCACACAGAGUGUAUUUG